rnacentral:lncRNA from 1 species
UUCCAUUGGCUGUCGGGCUCAGGGGCUCUCUUUUCAGCCUGGGGCGCGCAGCGCCUCGGAUGCGGAUUGGCCGAAGGCGGGGCUGGGAGGCGGGUUAAAGAGCGCGUUGCUGGCUGGGCCACGCGUGCUUGAGAAGGUUCAAUGGCGUGGCAGGGACUAGCGGCCGAGUUCCUGCAGGUGCCGGCGGUGACGCGGGCUUACACCGCAGCCUGUGUCCUCACCACCGCCGCGGUGGUAAGCGGCCGGGCGGACCGGACGUCGCCUUGGUUACAGCCUCUGGCGGGAGGGGUGAGGGUCGCCAUGGUUACGGCGUGGCUCCCGGGCAGCUCUUGACUGGCCCCUGGUUCCACAGCAGCUGGAGCUCCUCAGCCCCUUUCAACUCUACUUCAACCCGCACCUUGUGUUCCGGAAGUUCCAGGUCUGGAGGCUCGUCACCAACUUCCUCUUCUUCGGGCCCCUGGGAUUCAGCUUCUUCUUCAACAUGCUCUUCGUGUUCCGCUACUGCCGCAUGCUGGAAGAGGGCUCCUUCCGCGGCCGCACGGCCGACUUCGUCUUCAUGUUUCUCUUCGGGGGCGUCCUUAUGACCGUAUCCUUCCCGCAGGCUCUGGAACCUCGGGCUAGGGCGCCUCGGCGUCCAGCCUGUGUUGGUCCUGGGGCCAACACAGCCAUGCCAGAGAGGGACACAGUCGCUGUCUCCAGCUUAGUAUGUGUUGAGGGCCCACUCUGUGCUCAGCUGCAGGGGUCAGGGCUAGAUCUUCAGUGCUGUAUGCAAAAUACAAAGCCAUGCACAAAAGAGCCAGGCACCGUUCCUGCCUUGGGCGCUCAUGGGCUUCUCGCUGCUGCUGGGCAACUCCAUCCUCGUGGACCUGCUGGGGAUUGCGGUGGGCCAUAUCUACUACUUCCUGGAGGACGUCUUCCCCAACCAGCCUGGAGGCAAGAGGCUCCUGCAGACCCCUGGCUUCCUGUGAGUGUUGAGAGCCCUCCCUCCCUCUCCCCACCCUCAGAAGGAUCCCCACCGAUGGGGACCUGUGCUGGCCUGUGCUCAACACGGGCCCCUCCCCACAGAAAGCUGCUCCUGGAUGCCCCUGCAGAAGACCCCAAUUACCUGCCCCUCCCUGAGGAACAGCCAGGACCCCAUCUGCCACCCCCGCAGCAGUGACCCCCACCCAGGGCCAGGCCUAAGAGGCUUCUGGCAGCUUCCAUCCUACCCAUGACCCCUACUUGGGGCAGAAAAAACCCAUCCUAAAGGCUGGGCCCAUGCAAGGGCCCACCUGAAUAAACAGAAUGAGCUGCAGUCUCUUGGCCCACAGCACUGGCUUCCCCAUCUCACCUGGCCACAUCCUUCUAUGCCUGCCCCGUCCUCACUCAGUGUGGCCUCUCAGCCCAACUGCAGGUGGUAGGAUAGGGGUGCCCACAGAGGGCAAAGAAACUGCCCAUGGUUGCCUGGCAGAGCUUUGAGCUCACAGGUUGCCAGGCAGAGCUUUUGAGCUCACAGGUGACAGGCUCAGGGUUCUCAUCCUGGCCCCACCAGGGCCUUGGGCAAGUCCUGCCCACCAUAGGCCUCUGCUACCUGCCAGUCAGCGGGGAAGUUCACCAGAUUUCGGCUGCUGGGGCCAGGACAGGCGUCUCCUAGGUUGUGCCAAACCAGCCUACAGAUGUUCCUGCCAGUGGUGCCUUCAGGCUGAUGCCAAUCUAGCCUCUCCUGUCUCUCAUCAGCCACCCUGACAGGUGGGCGUAUGCCUCAUUUUUCAUCUGGUGAUGCCAAAGCCCCAUGGAUUCAGGUGCAGAAGAGGGCCAGGACUAGGUCUUCUGCCCUUUCUAUGACCUCAGAGCCUAAGUUUUCACCUUAGCAGAGUUCUGAGACUGGGUGAGGCAGGGACUUCUGGAAGGUUCUGUUCCUGCCCUUUUUAGCUGAGGACGUGUGUGAGCCUUAUCCGACCCCUGUGGCUCAUUUUUCUCUUCUGACCUGGCAGCUUUCCUUGUUGUUCUAAGCCUGUCCAUGUUGUGGUUUAUUUCUGGAUGCUCAGUGGCACGGGGCCUCCUCCAAAGACAGGUUGUCAUUUUCAUGGUAACAACACUGUUCUCUGUUGAGUCUGCCCUCCGUGUUGUAGCCAGACCUUGUGGAGAUGGCUUUGCGGCGGUGUGAGCUGGCGGUCAGGAGUGAGGGCCCAGCCUUCCCGGCACCUCCCAGCCAGGUGGCCCUGCCCGACCUGUGGGGUGAGGCAGCCAAGGUUCCUUCCAUCCCCCCAGUUGUGGAGACACAGGGCUGCCUCACCCUUUCAUUGCCGAGGUUCCUACCUCAUGGACAGAACAAACACCUCAGCAAUGAAACCUGUUCAUGUCUAAGAGCAGCUGGGCUGGGAAUCUUCCCCUUUGUUCAAGGCCUUCCAGUAAGGCCCAGCUGUCCCCUUGCUGUGCAUGGGGCUCUGGGGAGUUCCACUCUUUGAUGGAGGGCAGAGGCCCUGAGUGCAAACUCCCUGGGAAGAGUCCCAUGCUAACAUGUGCUCAAAGGAGCCCUCCUCUCACAUCUCAGCGACCAAGAACCCCAAUCCCUAAUCAGAGCUCUGCCUCUGCCCCACAUGGGGCCCUACCCCACUUCCAGGGAGCACAGCAGCCUCUGACCCUAGCCCUGCCCUGGCAGCAUGGGACCUGCCAACAGCUGAGGGUGGCAGCAGUCUGUGCUGGGAUCUGUGCCCGGAUCUGUGCCCAUUCUCUUCAGUAAGGCUGGAGCUGCGAGCCAGUUUGCUGCCCUCCCAGAUCCUGUGUCCAUUCUGAAGAAUGGGGACACCUCCCUAUUACAGAUGAGAACAGAGGGGACAUGAACUCCUUGGAGGCAGGGCUGGGAAGGGACCCUGGGCUGUGUCUCCUCCCUGUACCGUGUCAACUCCAAGAGCUGGCACCAGGCCGGGAGGGCUAUUCCCAUAUUCCUCACAGCUGGCUUGUAAGGCAGGAGCUGGCCCAGGCCACAGCACCUGCUGGGGUGGGAAAGGGCCCCAGCUGACCUGGCUAUGGGUGCCACUGGAGCUAGAACAGCCCUCCUGCACCCAGGCUGGCGACAGCCCAGCAGUGCCCACACAGGACUGGGCCCUCCGCAGGGGACUUCAGAGCAGCAAGGCCCCAGCUGGCAGUAGCCUGACCAUCUGGACACAGCAGAGCCAGGGCGGCCCAGGGACGGCAGGAGAGCUCGCGGCACCUUCCUGAGGCCAAGCAAGGGGAGCAGGGUUAGGGCUGUUCCUGAAAGGCAGAGAGCCUCUUGCCCUGAGCCUCACAGCUACUCUUCUCAGCUCUCUGGGUCUGGAAGGAGAACAGGCUGAGGGGAGCUGAGAGGAGCUGAGGUGCUACCCGGAGCCCCAUUCACCCCCACCUGCCCACUUGGGAAUCUGAGGCAGAGGAGGGUGAGGCCUGUGUGCCAACCUUGUUCACAUACCACCUUCGUCCCCCCAGGCCCCGGCCCCACUCCUGGCUCUCAUUAUUUUUAUGUUAAAACUUUGAAGAAAUUGAACAUGACCUGUUGAAGAAAUUGAA